GGCAACUACACAAACUACGGGAACUUAAACGCAGCGCUCCAAGGCGGGCUCGCAUUCGCUGGAGUCCCACUACAGGCCUCCGGGCGGCGGCUACGAGCCCAAGAAAGAUGCCAGUGAGGGCUGUGCAGUUGUUGGUGCAGGCGUCCAGCCCUACCUAUAGGAGGGCCAAGCUCAGCAGUGCAAGUAGGUGUCACAAUUGCUUUGGAAAAAAAAAGUCAGGAGGCCAUUCUCCCUUCCCAAGCUCAUAAAUACACAGAUACAAACCCCAGAUGUGGAAAUGCGGACCACAUUUUGUGCCACUGUAUAGAGGAUGCAGACUGCACUGCCAACCCACAGACUCUAAGGACUGGACACACGUUGUUUGGGCAUAUGAGAACUCGUUGGCAUAGUAUAGCUUCCCUAUGUUUGUGUGACUUUUGGAAACAAUCUGUUUUUUCUCAGGAUAUCUUCACUUCAUUGCCACGGUAUAUAUUCUAUAGGUGUGAUAGAACUUGCUGUAAAAUUUAUUUGUAAAAAAAAAUGUACACGGUAGAACUAAUGUGAUUGAAGAACUUGGGUCCUUCAGAAGUGGAAACAAAUUUGAUAUUUAUUUUUAUAAUGACAUAAAGCUUCUAGUAAUUUAUGCAAGUUGUAUUGCAAUGAAAUCUAAAACUUUUGUAAAUA
rnacentral:lncRNA from 1 species